GAAGGUAGAGCUCAGUGGGAGAGUGCCUGCUUAGCAUGCACAAGGUUCUGGGUUCAAUCCCCAGUACCUCCA
rnacentral:tRNA from 1 species